AAGCUGUGUCACUUUAUUAGCAGAAGCCACACUUGUCAUAUCCUAGUUUAAAUGGUAUGGCUUGUUUAAUAAGCCUUUCAUAUUUCACUUAUACACUUUUAUGCCUAGGAUUUCACUGAUGAAAUUCUCCCAGCAUGUGCGAUCUCAGGGGACAUAGCUAGAAUACUGAGAAAGUUGGCAAUGACUGUUUUCUAUCUUAUAGCAUAGAUUAAAAAUGGUUAGACCUGGAAGAGACCUUGGGGAAAACAUAGCCCAUUUAAUUUAUGAAUUAGGAAAUUGAGACCUAUCAGAGUUGAACAACUUCCUGUGGCCUUCCAGUAAGUUCGUAGUACAGCGAGGCCCGGAACUUGGUGUGGCUAAGAAUAGAUCUGAUCAUCUUGGGCUUGCUUUGAGUGUUCCUCUUGUGACUUGAAAUAAAAUUCAUAGUUGUUACACUGAAAGAAAAUUUUAGACUCUUACUGAAGAAAUAUGUGGUCCCGGAUGACUGGGAAGUGAAGGAGGAAUCUGACAUUGCAGAGCCCCAGCGAUUGUUUGCUCCCCUUCCCACCCAAGAUCAAGUAGUUUCAGAAGCAGUUCUGUCUCUGACUAAAAUGAUUAUCAGAAGGAGGACAUGGCUGUUGUGUGCCUAACAUACGGUGCUGCAAAGCAGGAGAUUUCCUUUGCUCUCGGUCGUGUGCUCCUCAAUAACAACUGCGCUCACGUUAUUCAAGGCACACUGAGCACAUUUCCCUGACCCUGACUGCAGUGCACAUCAUGGGAGAAGAAUGUGCAGAGGACGUAUAGGCCUUGUCCUGUGCACACGUGGAAGCCCGCUGCCAUUUGGUGGAGAUGCAGAAAGAAGCACGAGGGGGCCAAAUGGACAAAACUUGCCCAGACAAGAGCCUGGGUGGCCACACCUCCCUUUUUUUUUGUGGCCCACCUUGCCUCGGGAGUUCCGCUGCACUGCCCCGCUGUCCCGAGCUGCUCGCACUCCCUCGUGGGUGACCUCGGGGCUGCAUCCUUCUCUGCAGUGCGGUCGCCUCCCCCCUCUCUUUCUGCUCUAGCUCACCCUGCCUGAGUUGUGUCCUGUUACCUGUGCUCUCUUCUUCAAGGGGAUUAACCGGCCAGAGACAUGGGCCAUUGACUGACAAUAAGCAGCCUCUCUUGUUUGCAGGCAGGUGGCUGGGUGCCUAAACGCACAGGCCUGCAGAGGUUGUACCAUAGUUCAUUGCAUGAGACAACUCCGGAGCAACACCCCCAGCGCCCACUGCCCACCCCUCUGUGCGCCGUGAAGACUUCCGGAUUUAUACAUCCCCUGGGUUGCUAUGAGCUAAUCUUCCCUCCUGCUGUCAAAGGGAGAGGGUAUUGGGCUCACUUGGAAACUUCAAAACUCAGCUCAUUUCUAAUAAGUUCAAGUUUUAUGGUUUAAAGAACUUUUAUCAGUAAAUAAAGGUCAA